rnacentral:rRNA from 1 species
UGGGGAAUAUUGGGCAAUGGGGGAAACCCUGACCCAGCAACGCCGCGUGAAGGAAGAAGGCCUUCGGUUGUAAACUUCUUUUACCUAGGGACGAAAAAGAAUGACGGUACCUGGAGAAAAAGACAACGGCUAACUACGUGCCAGCAGCCGCGGUAAUACGUAGGGAGCAAGCGUUAUCCGGAAUUACUGGGUGUAAAGGGAGUGUAGGCGGGACUGUAAGUCAGAUGUGAAAUAUGCCGGCUCAACUGGCAGACUGCAUUUGAAACUGUGGUUCUUGAGUGAAGUAGAGGUAAGCGGAAUUCCUGGUGUAGCGGUGAAAUGCGUAGAUAUCAGGAGGAACAUCAGUGGCGAAGGCGGCUUACUGGGCUUUAACUGACGCUGAGGCUCGAAAGCGUGGGGAGC